UAGGGAAUCUUCGGCAAUGGGGGGAACCCUGACCGAGCAACGCCGCGUGAGUGAAGAAGGUUUUCGGAUCGUAAAGCUCUGUUGUUAAGGAAGAACGAGUGUGAGAAUGGAAAGUUCAUGCUGUGACGGUACUUAACCAGAAAGGGACGGCUAACUACGUGCCAGCAGCCGCGGUAAUACGUAGGUCCCGAGCGUUGUCCGGAUUUAUUGGGCGUAAAGCGAGCGCAGGCGGUUAGAAAAGUCUGAAGUGAAAGGCAGUGGCUCAACCAUUGUAGGCUUUGGAAACUGUUUAACUUGAGUGCAGAAGGGGAGAGUGGAAUUCAUGUGUAGCGGUGAAAUGCGUAGAUAUAUGGAGGAACACCGGUGGCGAAAGCGGCUCUCUGGUCUGUAACUGACGCUGAGGCUCGAAAGCGUGGGGAGCGAACAGG
rnacentral:rRNA from 1 species